rnacentral:rRNA from 1 species
UACAGAGGGGGCAAGCGUUGUUCGGAAUUACUGGGCGUAAAGGGCGCGUAGGCGGCCUUCUAAGUCGAACGUGAAAUCCCUGGGCUCAACCCAGGAACUGCGUCCGAUACUGGAAGGCUUGAAUCCGGGAGAGGGAUGCGGAAUUCCAGGUGUAGCGGUGAAAUGCGUAGAUAUCUGGAGGAACGCCGGUGGCGAAGGCGGCAUCCUGGACCGGCAUUGACGCUGAGGCGCGAAAGUGUGGGGAGCGAACAGG